rnacentral:misc_RNA from 1 species
UCCGGUUUGUCACCGGCAGUCUCCCUAGAGUGCCCAACUUAAUGUAGCAACUAAGGACAAGGGUUGCGCUCGUUGCGGGACUUAACCCAACAUCUCACGACACGAGCUGACGACAGCCAUGCAGCACCUGUGUUCGCGUUCCCUUUCGGGCACACCCGCCUCUCAGCGAGCUUCGCGACAUGUCAAGGGUAGGUAAGGUUUUUCGCGUUGCAUCGAAUUAAUCCACAUCAUCCACCGCUUGUGCGGGUCCCCGUCAAUUCCUUUGAGUUUUAAUCUUGCGACCGUACUCCCCAGGCGGUCAACUUCGCGCGUUAGCUGCGGUACUGAAAGAUUGCUCCUCCAACACCUAGUUGACAUCGUUUAGGGCGUGGACUAC